AGCCGCAGACCUUCUCUCUCGCAGACGGUCCGACGACCUCUCGGUGGCUAGGGCACGAUGAGGAGCCGGAUCUUGCAUCCUCUUCAACCGCUCUGUUCCAGUGUCGUUGCCGGCCUUGAAGGUAAGCAACCGAUUCCUUCUCGUCUCUUGGUUGUCGCCUAUCUUUGAGGGAGGGGAGGUUCUGUGAAGGUGAUCUUGGAUCCCUUCUAUGUUGCUGUUGACUGAGGU